UACGGAGGGGGCAAGCGUUGUUCGGAUUUACUGGGCGUAAAGCGCACGUAGGCGGAUCGAUCAGUCAGGGGUGAAAUCCCAGGGCUCAACCCUGGAACUGCCUUUGAUACUGUCGAUCUGGAGUAUGGAAGAGGUGAGUGGAAUUCCGAGUGUAGAGGUGAAAUUCGUAGAUAUUCGGAGGAACACCAGUGGCGAAGGCGGCUCACUGGUCCAUUACUGACGCUGAGGUGCGAAAGCGUGGGGAGCAAACAGG
rnacentral:rRNA from 1 species